GCCGGGAUGGCGGAAUUGGCAGACGCGCUGGAUUCAGGAUCCAGUGGGCGCAAGCCCGUGCGGGUUCAAGUCCCGCUCCCGGCA
rnacentral:tRNA from 1 species